AGCCUCUUGCCAAUCUCCUUUUCAUAGGUAUUGUGCAUGCUGGUGAAUGUUGGCCUCCCGUGAGCUCUACUGUCUCAUGGUUGGUUGAAAAUCGAGACCUUGGUAGGGUGUGCCAUGAUAGAUGGUGGAAGUGUGACUCACGAUGCCAAGAUCAUGUGCUACCCUAUUCAAUUUGAUCUCUUUUACCCAUAUGCGUUUUGUAAACGCUCGUGAUGAGACCUCAGGUCAGGCGGGGCUACCCGCUGAAUUUAAGCAUAUCAAUAAGCGGAGGAAAAGAAACUAACAAGGAUUCCCUUAGUAACGGCGAGCGAACCGGGAUAAGCCCACCAUGAAAAUCGGUCGCCUUC
rnacentral:rRNA from 1 species